GACGAACGCUGGCGGCGUGCUUAACACAUGCAAGUCGAACGAAGAGCGAUGGAAGCUUGCUUCUAUCAAUCUUAGUGGCGAACGGGUGAGUAACGCGUAAUCAACCUGCCCUUCAGAGGGGGACAACAGUUGGAAACGACUGCUAAUACCGCAUACGAUCUAAUCUCGGCAUCGAGGAUAGAUGAAAGGUGGCCUCUACAUGUAAGCUAUCACUGAAGGAGGGGAUUGCGUCUGAUUAGCUAGUUGGAGGGGUAACGGCCCACCAAGGCGAUGAUCAGUAGCCGGUCUGAGAGGAUGAACGGCCACAUUGGGACUGAGACACGGCCCAGACUCCUACGGGAGGCAGCAGUGGGGAAUCUUCCGCAAUGGACGAAAGUCUGACGGAGCAACGCCGCGUGAGUGAUGGCGGCCUUCGGGUUGUAAAGCUCUGUUAAUCGGGACGAAAGGCCUUCUUGCGAAUAGUGAGAAGGAUUGACGGUACCGGAAUAGAAAGCCACGGCGAACUACGU
rnacentral:rRNA from 1 species